UUAGUGAAGAAGCAGUUGGAGAUCAACCGCAAUCUUCGAUUUUAAAGCGCGUCCAAAGUUGACCGGAGUUCCUAGCACUACCAUACGACGAAUGAUUGCUGAAGGUAGACCGAAUGGAAGUGUAUUUAGUGCACCCGGUAAAAAGAAGAGAGGUGGAAAGAAAACAAAUAACCUGGACAGUUUUGAUUUGGAAAUAGCAUAAUAAUAUAAAGUGAUCUUUUCAUAAA